UUGGCCCCACCCCUCUUUUCCCCUUCUUCUUCUUUCUUCUUCUUCCCUCUUCUUCUUCCUCGUUCCUUCUUUCUCUGCCUCUGUAGUUCACGCGCAGAAGAUGACGACGCGUGCAAAGGACGGCCUACGGCCGAGGGGAGUAGGCCGACGUCGGCCGGAGAGGAUAAGAUCUCGGGCGCCAUCAAUGCCGAGCACGCUUCGCUGGAUAAGCUCGGAUGGGACGCCGGUCCAGCCAAGGAGAACCGCUCGGCGCGCAAAGGGGACCGCCGGUCGAAGCUCCGUCGACCGGACCUCCUCGCCUAUAAAUAGAGGAGCACCUCCGUCGACGAACGGGAUCGCAAGCUUGGACAUCUUCCCACUGAGAGACUUCGGGGGAGGAAUCGAAGAGCAAGCGAGAGAGAACUCGGGUCGCGAGCUCGGCUGACCUCCCACUGAGAGACUUCGGGGGAGGCCGCCGGCGAGCGAGUCCGAGGAGGUCAGAUCUAGCCGGUGGAGGCUCGGAUCUGACCGGAGUGAGGGAGAUCGGCCGGAGGGAGAGGGUCGGUCAAGGUCCAGAUCUGGGUUCUCGCUGCUACUACUGUUGACACCCCGACGCUACGUCGAGCCGUGCCGCCGUCCCCACACCGUCGCCUCGAUCGAGUCCCGACGUAGUCUCCUCGAAGGCUCGUUGCCGUCCCCCCCUGCUGAGCCGUGACCGAUCCGCUAACGCCAUGCCAGAUCUAGGAGCUACGGGGCUGACAUCACUACCUCCUGUCACCGCCACCGUUCGCCACCUCGUCACAGACAGGUAACGGUAACCAUCACCACCGCCGGUCGUGUCGCCGCCGUCGCAUCUUCCCCCUUUUCGAACCGUGCCGCCUUGAAACCCCCAUCACAGACCCAUGGUCGGUCGUCCUCGCUGAGCGGAUUGUCGUCGUCGUCUCCACCGUCGGCG
rnacentral:lncRNA from 1 species